rnacentral:lncRNA from 1 species
UUUUUUUUUUUGUAUUUUUCGUAGAGAUGGGGUUUCACCAUAUUGGUCAGGCCGGUCUCAAACUCUUGACCUCGUGAUUCGCCCGCCUCGGCCUCCCAAAGUGUUGAGAUUACAGGCGUGAGUCACCACGCCUGGCCACUUCUCCUUUUUUAAUUUAAAAUUUUUCAUUUUGGAUGAUGGGUAUUUAUUUUUAUAUUAUUCUUUGAGUCUUUUUGUCCUGCAUACUUUUUAUUUUUUUCAAGGUUAAAAAGGGGAAGGAGGAAAGUAGGGACUCUCAGGCCAGAUCCAAAGAGUGGCUCCCCUAUGGAACCAUCUUUGGGCACCCCAGACUUGAGCCUGAGCAGGUGACUAGCUCUGCUUCCUUCCCAAGGUUGGACUACAAUCUCAUAGUGUUGGUGCAGAAUGAGGCCCCACUGCAGGUGGCUGCUCCCAGGACCAAGCUCAUCUGCUCUCCCCUAGCCUCAGUUUCUUACUUGUUGGUUGGGACAGCAACACCACCUUAAAGCCCUGGGGAGCACUGGUCUCAAAGGCUCACAGAAGGUGCUGGGUGACUGCAGCUACUGUCAGACCUCCAUGGGUUAUGUGUGCACCUGUGUGUAGGUAGUGUGAUGUAUGUGUAUAUGUGUGUGCAUAUGUGUGUGUCUAUGUGUGAUCACACUUCUAGGGAUCCUGGUGUAAGCUCAGGAUACCCUGUCCCACUCCAUCCCUCUCUAACAGCAGCUCCAAGGACCAUGGCCCCAGGAACUAGGAGCAAGUGACAGGAGCCACCUGCCAUGUCCAAACCCAGUGCACACUCAGCCCGGCCUCACCCUUUUUCAAGGAUAGCUGGCACAGACCAUCAUCCUGGCCCACGAUGAUGGUGAGCAUCAAACUCCAAUUUCUGAAGAGGAAACUGAAGACCAGAGAGGGGAGGUAAAUGUCCCAAAGUCACCAGCAAGUCAGUGGCAGACACAACUUGAACCUGGUUUUGAGUGGCAGUCUAUGGGCAUCGAGGCCACCAUUUGCCAUGUACCUAAUGUGUGCCUGGCAAUGUUCCAGGCCUCUCCUGCAUAAUUUCUUAUCCUGUCAACCAGAGGCUCAGAGAGGUGGCGUUUCUACCCCUAGUACACAGAGGAGGCGCUUGGGGUUCAGAGGCACGGGUGGGAGUCCACCGACGUCACGCACCCCAGCAGGUGGCCAAGCGGGAUGGGAGCGCGGGUCUCCCCAUCCCCAGCGGUGACGGGCUGCGGCUCUUUCCUGAGGAACAGGGCGGCAUCCGCAACGGGAACCGCUGGAGGCGCCCCACGGGACCCUGGCCCGCCCUCGCCCCCGCGCAUGCCUGGCCGCUGAGGCGUGAGAGCCGCCGCCCGUGGCCCCCACCCGUGCGCCUUACACAACCGGCUCAGAUAAGUGCUGCGUCUCUGGGCAAUUAUCGCCUUCCCGCCGCCGGGGCUGGCCGCGCACAGGGCCCACGGCCAAGGGACUCGCAGCCACCCAAGGAGAGCGGUAAGGUCUACUGCGGCCGCCAGCGCGCGCGAUUUCACAAGGCC